AAUGUUUCAAGAGAUAUAUGAACCUUGCACUUUGUAGCUAUAAAUAUAUGUUGAGAGAAACUCUGAACUAUUGGAGGAAAGCAAACACCAUGUUUCGAUUUUCACAUGUAGAAUUGAGGGCAUCUCAAGUAACGUGGUAAGGAAUAUCACAAUAUUAGAACAAAACAACUAUAUUUGUUUCUCCAUCGCCUACAAAAAAACUCAAACUCUAUGAUUUAUACCUUUUCACUAACCUACUGCUUGAUUUAUACUUUUCUAGGGUAUGAAGAAGGCGCUACAGCUGCCGGAUUACCUAAAGCCGACGGAGCUGAAGAUGAUGCUCAAUACGAUCAAGGUCUUCCUGCCGAUUGUCUUUGUAAGGGAGGCAUGACACCUGGAUGUAUCAUUUGGGAGCAAACUUUAAACGUCUACCUCUUUUAACUAAGAUGUAUCAUUUUCUUCCAAAGACACGAAAGUAUGACACAUUGGGUUUGUUACCGGUUAGAAGCUCGUAAGACGUCUUCUUGACACUACUACAAAUCGUGUUAUAUGAGAUGGUUAAUUUUUAGUUAUUAAGAUGCUUAUGAAGUGUCCAAAUUUGAUGGAGUCGCAAAAUAUGUUACGUUUUUAAGAUGGUUAUAAACCGUCUUAAAAGAUAUUAAAUAAG
rnacentral:lncRNA from 1 species